CUGAAAUGCAGGAAUCUCAUACAGUACAUAGUUCCUGAAGUAGGAUUGCUCAGCGAACAUCUUUCUCUGCUCCAAAGUGAUGCCCUGAAAAGGAGGUGGCAGCAAAGCUAUGCAACUUAAGGCCUUGGAGGGUUUCCCACGACUGUAACUCACAGGUGAAAAAUGCGUGGGAGUAGUUUCGAUCAUUCAGGAAGAAGAUAGUGAACAAUGAGUUAAUUCUGAAUGAAUUCCUUCUCACAAACCUCCAGAAAUAUCCUUUGAUGGAUUCGGACUUCCAGCAUGUGCAAUAUUUUGCUUUGGGAAUUUCAACAUUGGACCCAGCAACAAUGAGGAAAAUGCUGUAAGAGUUCCUGACACGGCAGAGAAUCAGCUGACUGUAGACCAGGAUCUAACCCUGGGGAGAUAGAACUAAUCCAGAAAAUUCAAAUUGAAUGAAUUGAAGCUCUGUCAAGGAAAUAUUUCAAUAAAGCCUUGAAAACCACCAUCUAACUCUUGGGCCACGUUGAAGCUGAAAGAAACUAUGGAAACUGAUUUUGCAAAGACUUUAUUUGACAAUACAUUCAACAUACAUUCUGUGGUUUUGUAAUGCAAGCUUAAGAUAAUACUGUACCCCUCUGCUCCAAACCCGCUGUAGUCUUCUAAAUCCAGACUUCAAAUUAUAGCUGCAGUUGGAAGACAUUCUCAGUGUGAAGUAUGGUGAAAACUUGAAAAAUGUGUACAAACAGCAGCUUUGAUCAACCCAAGGGAAAUGCUGACUUUAUGUUUACUUCCACAGUAGCUUUAUAAACCAUGUAAUUAAAGGUGAUCUCCAAAUAGAUGUUCUUCUCAUCUAUGGAGAUCUCUGAGUUACAGAUUAAUCCUGUCUAAGGGAAAACUGCACACAAGCCUGGCCAAACAUGUCUUGAGGUGAUUCUAGGUAGUCUGAAGAUGACAGCUCUCAUAGGCUGUUCCCAAUAAUGCCUUGAACUAAUUCUAGGUAUAUUUACAUCGUACUUUUUCUUUUGUUGCUUUCCUAUUGACCGGGAGCCGCUGAAAUGGAAUCCUGUUUUGUUUGACACAUCUUUAUCUAUUUGCUGCACCUUCAGCAUUGGACCACUUGAGGGAGACAUUGCUUCUUCGAUCAGCAAAACCUCAGUUUGCUCAACAAAUAAUGAGAUUAUUUCAAUAUAUUUUAAAGCACUUUGCCGAAAGCCGGACGUUUUCUGAGAUCAACCAUCUCUACAACUUGUGCUACUUGAUCUUGUUGAUGAUAUUGUGUACAAAAUAUUAAGAGGAAUAGAUAGAGUAGACAGCCAGCGCCUCUUUCCCAGGGCACCAAUGCUCAAUACAAGAGGGCAUGGCUUUAAAGUAAUGAGUGGGAAGUUCAAGCGAGAUAUCAGAGGGAGGUUUUUCACCCAGAGAGUGGUUGGUGUAUGGAAUGCGCUACCUGGGGUGGUGGUGGAGGCAGGUACACUGGUCAAGUUCAAGAGAUUGUUGGAUAAGCAUAUGGAGGAACUUAGAAUAGGGGGAUAUGUGGGAGGAAAAGGUUAGAUAGUCUCAAGCGAGGUUUAAAGGUCAGCACAACGUGGUGGGCCGAAGGGCCUGUAUUGUGCUGUAUUGUUCUAUGGUUCUAUGGUUCUAUGAUUACUUGCCCAGGAAGAAGCGAUGUCUGUAAGCUACAUCCACAUUAUAUAAAUUGAAAAAUAGUGUUUUAAUUUUUGUUUAAAGUGCUCUCUUCCAUAUAACAUGUUCAACCACAUAUGCAUACAAAGGAAUGCUAAAGGUUGUGAACUUCAUGCUAUCCUCCAGACAGCAGUAACCAGCUUCCAGCAGUAUUUCCCUGCUACCAGGCAUCAGAAACACCUCCUUUCACCAUGUGCGGUACUGGACAGAGGCAUGAGAAAAUGAGUGACAGGAACACCAUGUGGAAAAACAAACAGCUGUCAACUAUGCACCAUACACAAUGCCCGCUUGUAUUUAAUGAAUGGUUACUGAGCUUUGAUCAAAGGCUGGGAAAUUCUUUUGAGCUGCUCCUUCCCUCAUGUAGCCUGAACGAUAGGAAAAACCUUGUUUAUUCGGAUUAAUAUGGUUUUGCUCUGCUUACAGUGCUGAGUGAGAAAGCUGGGGAGGCAGGUCCCAUUCAGCAGACUUGAGCCUGUGUUUGGGCCUGAUGCUUCAGCGAUGAUACCACUUGAGAUGGAGCUGGAUUCCCUCAUGCUCCAACUACACUGUGUGCACCUUAAUCAUGUUCGGUUGUCUAACAGCUGGAUGCUGGAAGUAAAAGUACCAAAUUAUUGCACUGCGAUUCAAAGAUUUAUUCAAACAUAGCUGUGCCUGCAAUGGUAAAGGUAAGUUCUAACGUUUGCUCAGAAGGAUCCCACCCCCCCCCCCCCCCGAUCUUCCUUUGACCUCUGCCCAACCCUAAUGCUGGUAUUCCAUCAUGGAAUCAGGAUCCACCACACAGUUUAUUCAAAUUACCUGAGGAUCUGAUGGUGCCAAGUGUGAAAGCUAGAAAAGAUAGGGGACGUCAAGCCCUAGGUAACUGCUACAUUGUUCCCAGGGACUGCCAUAAACAGCAUUAAUAGAAAUCUUUUCCCCAUUCAGAUAUUGACAGGAAGAAGCAAAAGCAUCAAUAUUUCUUAAAUUAAUAACAUGGUAUUUCAUUCUUUUUUCUAAUCUGGAAAGCUGAAAUGUGUAAAAUAAAGAGUUGUCAAGCUGCAAUGAAAAAUAAAGCUCCAACAUGUGGUGCCUUUGACAGAAUCAGGAAUUAACUUUCCACAACCAUGUGAUGCAGCAAGUUAGCAAAACUCAAGCAGCUGUUUAUAAUUCAUUUUUGAAUUAGUCUCGAGAUUUUAGUGAAGCUAUUAAAUAAAUCUCAUCUGAACGGCAGCCAACAAAAGUUUCCAUCCCCCAAAACACCCUCAGCUCUAAAGAGAUCUGAAGUUUGUUUUCUUUUUGAAGCACUGUAGGUAAUGUUCAGCAGUUUCUCAGUUACUUCUCAGAGUCACGUGUUGCACUCACCUGGA